rnacentral:rRNA from 1 species
AUGAGAGGCGCCACCUCUGCCUCCACCCCCACUGGGAAAGGAGCUCGAGGUGAACAGGAGGUGUGGAAAGGCGAGAGGAAGCAAGAGCUCGUCCCUCCUCCCAUGGCCGCCUCGUGGAUCUGGAGUACAAGGAGGACAACACGUGCCUGUUGCAGGCGGCUUGAGCGACGCGAACCAGUUGGUAAACAUGGAAAGCCAAGAAAAUUAUAUAGCUUACUUACAUUAUUGUUUGAUCAAUUGCUUUGCGUCAGGCUCACUAAUGGAGCAUGCCUAAUCUUGGACUGCAUUUAUUGCCUGGUGUUGGGUGCUUUGGAUGGUGGUCUUGAUAUUCCGCAUAGUGACAAGAGAUUUGGUGGCUUCAAGAAGGAUGAGAAGCAGCUGGACACUAAGAUUCACCUCAAAUUCAUUUAUGAAGAUCAUGUUGUUGACUGCAUGAAGGUG